GUUGAACAACUUUCUAGAUGCUUAUUGGAUCGAGCAUAGCUUCUUUGGAAAAAUAGCUACUCAAGUCAUUUAUUCAUUUCUCUAUUUUGUUAUGAGUUAUCAAUUCUGAAUAUUAGCACAUUCAGAAUUCUAUAUUUGUUAUGAGUUGUCAAUUCUGAAUAUUAGAAUAUUCAGAAUAUUAGACCUCAUCGGGUCUAUGAUUUGUAAAUACCAUUUCCUAGUCUGUGAAUUGUGGUGGUGGUUUUUCAGUUUCUAGACAGUUGUGCAAAAUUUUUUUUAGAAAUAGUUUUAGGGCCAGGUGCAGUGGUGCAUGCCUAUAAUUCCAGCAGCUUGGGAGGCUUAGUCAGGAGGAUUGUGAGUUCAAAGCCACCCUCAGCUAUUGCAAGGCACUAAACAAACAAACAAGAAAAGAAUUCCAUUUACAAUAAUUUUUUGGGGGGGCAGGUACCAGGGAUUGAACCCAGGGGUGCUUAACCACUGAGCCACAUCCCCAGCCCUAUUUUGUAUUUUAUUUAGAGACAGGGUCUCACUGACUUGCUUAGUGCCUUGCCAUUGCUGAGGCUGGCUUUAAUCCUGCCUCAGCCUCCCAAGCUGCUGGGAUUACAGGUGCACACCACUGAGCCCAGCUAAUUGUGAUAUUAACUGUGGAUUUUUCAAAGAUGACCUUUAUGAGGUUGAAUAAGUUCCUUUCUUAUCCCUAAUUUUUUGAAUAUUUUUUAUUAUGAAAAGCUAUUGGAUUCUGUCUUGUGUAUAUUCUAUGUGUGUGUGUUUCUGAGAUGAUUGUUUUAUUAUUGAUAAUGGUCUAGUACAUUGAUUUUUGAAUGGUAAACCUUGCUUUCCUGGGAUCAACCUAACUUGAUUAUAGUAUGUGAUUCUUUUUAGGUGCUGUACAUUUCAGUUUGCUGGGAUUUUUGCUGAAGUUUUUGCAUAUAUACUUAUAAAAGUCAUUGUUCUCUAGGUUGUUGUUGGUGUGUGUGUGUGAUGUUUUUCUUAGGUGUUUGUUGUUAAGAGUAAUAGUUGUAUAAAAUUAGUUGGAAGAUAUUCUCUUUACAUCUACUUGUACAAAAAAAGAAAGAGGAAAAAAAUGCUUUGGAAGUUUUGGAUUGGUUCUCUCUCUAAAUGUUUGGUAGAAUUCACUUGAGUCUGAGCUUUUCUUUAUAGGAAUUUUUUAAUUCUACAUUUAAAAAUUCUUAAAUUCUAAAGUGUCUCCUUAGUGUUGAGCCAGAAUUUGUUUCUUCUUGAGUCAGUUUUAGGAGAUUGUCAUUUCAGCCAGGUGGUCUGGUUAGCUGGGUACAGUUGUUAGAAUGUUCCCUGUUUUCCUUUGGCUGGAAGAAGGUCAGUAGUGGGGUGCCCUUUUUUUGUACCUUCUGUUUUUCCUUCCUGCCUACUAGUUGAGCUAAAGGUUUUUUCAAUUUUGUUGAUAUUUUCAAAUAACCAAUUUUUGCUUUGCAGUGAUUUUCUCAUUUUCCUGUCCCCGUUCUUUCAUUUCUGUUCAAAUCAUGAUUAAUUUCUUUUUCCUGCUUGUGGUGGGUGUAGUUUAUUCUUCUUUUUCUGGGUUAAAAAACUGGGUUAUUAGUCCUAAAGUUCUUUAAUACAGGCAUUUCCAACAAUAAGUCCACGAGCACCAUUUUAGGCGUAGCUUCGGAGACUUGAAAACUAAACACAUCGUUUUCAUUCAGCUCAGAGCAUCUUCCAGCGUCCCUGUGACUUCUUCUCUGCUAUGCGGAAGUGCACUGCUUAAUUUCCACAAGUUGCUUUCUAAAUACUCUCUUCACUGUGGAUUUAAAAGUCAUUCCAUUGUCAUCAAAAAAGAUACUUUGUGUGAUUUCCAUCUUUUUAAACUUAUUGGACCUAUGUUUUGACCUAAAAUAUUGACUUAUCUUAGAGAUUGUUCUGUGUACAUUUUAAAAGAAUAUUCUGAUGUGGUUCAGUGGAGAGUUCCAUGGGUGUAUAUUAGAACUAGUUGGUUUAUACUGUUGUUCAAGUCUUCUUUCUCCUUGUCCAUCUGCCUAGUUUUUCUGCCUAGCUUUUCAUUGGAAAUAAGAGUAUUAUUGUUACAUUGUCUGUCCUUCUUUUCAGUUCUGACAGGUUGUGCUCUACAAUUUGUAAAGCUCUGUUAGGUGCAUAUAUUUAUAAUUUUUAUGUCUUCCUGAUGGAUUGACCCAUUUGCAUGAUAAAAUAUUUUGUCUCAUAUUUGGUGAUUGUUUAAUUGUCUUGGGAUCUAAACUGCCUCUUGUAGGUAGUGUAUACUGGGUCAUUGUUUUUUUUAUCCAUUAUGGUUCUCCUUGCCUUUUGAUCAGAGUAUUGAAUUCAUUUAGUGUUUUGUUUUGCUGGGGGGGGGGUACUAGGGAUUGAACUCAGGGGCACUUAACCACUGAGCCACAUCCCCAGCCUUAAUUUGUAUUUUAUUUAGAGACAGGGUCUCACUGAGUUGCUUAGGGCUUCACUUUUGCUGAGGCUGGCUUUGAACUAAUGAUCCUCCUGCCUCAGCCUCCUGAGCCGCUGGGAUUACAGCGGUGCACCACCACAAAUAUUUCCUGUAGAAUGUGUCAGGUAGCAGUAAAUUCUCUCAAUUUGGAUAUUUUUUUAAAAAUCUGGGAAUGUUUUAAUUUCAUCUUUAUUUUUGAAAGAUAAUUUUGCUGUACCUGAGAUUUCCAGACUUUUUAAAUACUUUGAAUAUUUCUCCCUCUUGACCUUCCUGGUUUUGAAUAAGAAAUCAGCUACAAAUAUUUUUUGAGCAUCCCCUGUACGUGAUAAGUUGUUUUUCUUGUGCUGUUUUGAAGAUGCUUUGUCUUUGGCAUUUGACCUUGACUAUGAUGAACCUAGGCCUUUUGAAUGAAUUUUCCUUAGAGUUAAAUUUUUCAGAUAUGUGGGUGCAUGUUUUCCAUCCCAUUUAUAAGUUUGGAUGCAUCAGGGCUUCAAACAUACUCUCCCUCCUCCUUGUGUCCUGUGUUUGUACUCGCAUGAUCUGUGUGUUGUCAUGCUGGAUGCUCUUGCACAGAUCUCUGAAGUUCUGUGUAUUUUCUUCAUUCUCUUUGAUUCUCAGACUAGAUAUCUCUGUUGACCUGUCUCAAGUUCACUGACUCAUCUGCAAGCUCAGUUCUGCUACUGAGCCCUCUAGGGUGGAAUUUUUUUUUUAAUAUUUUUAGUUGUAGAUGGACACAAUACGUUUAUUUUACUUAGGU
rnacentral:lncRNA from 1 species